rnacentral:rRNA from 1 species
AGAGUUUGAUCCUGGCUCAGAUUGAACGCUGGCGGCGUGCUUAACACAUGCAAGUCGUGCGAGAACGGCCUUUUCGGAGGCUUAGUAGAGCGGCGCACGGGUGAGUAACGCGUGGAUAUCUACCUCGAUGAUUGGGAUAACAGUGGGAAACCGCUGCUAAUACCGGAUACGCUUCAUUUAAUCGUGAGGGAAAGGUGGCCUCUGCAUAUGCUACCGCAUCGAGAUGAGUCCGCGUCCCAUUAGCUUGUUGGCGGGGUAACGGCCCACCAAGGCGACGAUGGGUAGCUGGUCUGAGAGGAUGAUCAGCCACACUGGGACUGGAACACGGCCCAGACUCCUACGGGAGGCAGCAGUGGGGAAUAUUGCGCAAUGGGGGAAACCCUGACGCAGCGACGCCGUGUGAGGGAAGAAGGCCUUCGGGUCGUAAACCUCUGUCAGGAGGGAAGAAGUGCGUGGAGUCGAAUAGGCUUUACGUUUGACGGUACCUCCAGAGGAAGCACCGGCCAACUCCGUGCCAGCAGCCGCGGUAAUACGGAGGGUGCGAGCGUUAAUCGGAAUCACUGGGCGUAAAGCGUGCGUAGGCGGCGAUGCAAGUCAGGUGUGAAAUCCCACGGCUCAACCGUGGAACUGCACUUGAAACUGCAUUGCUUGAGUCCUGGAGAGGGUGGCGGAAUUCCCGGUGUAGGAGUGAAAUCCGUAGAUAUCGGGAGGAACACCAGUGGCGAAGGCGGCCACCUGGACAGUGACUGACGCUGAGGUACGAAAGUGUGGGGAGCAAACAGGAUUAGAUACCCUGGUAGUCCACACCG